AAUUAUCCAAUAAUUAAUUAUGGUCAAAUCCAAGUUCUAGAGUUUUCUCUAGAAAUAUCAUCAUUUCCACCUCCUUAAAAGAUUCUAGAAAUUUUCUAGAAUCAUCUUCCACCUCCUUAAACAGAAAAAUCUAGAUACUCUAAUAGAAUAAUCUAGAUAAUUUGAAUAAUGUAAUCUAGAUCUUAUGUAAGAACUCUCUAGACUUAGGAUUAAAAUAUUUUAGAUAUUUUGUAGUUUAGAGGCUAUAAAUACCUCCUCCCCCUCUCAAAUGUUGUCAGGUUGUGAAGUUGUCUUCAAGUUUAAAGCAAAGUAAUAAAAGUUCUAUUUCCUAAAAAAACUCUCUCAAAACAUUUUAACACUUUCUCCAUUACCUCUAAAAGAAUUUUACUCUAACACACCCAUCUCCGAAAAUAUAACCUGAACAAACACAGAAUGUUACUCCUCUCUGGACUUGGAAAGACAAUUAGC
rnacentral:sRNA from 1 species